AUGAAAAAGGACUGCACUGGCUAUAAAAAUUGGUUAGCCAAAAAGGGGAUUCAUAAGGAGGAGAAUCCCAAAAAGUGAUGAAGUGAACCUGUGUGUAGGCAAUGGCAUGAGAGUGGCAAUCAAGACUAUUGGAACCUUAAAGCUCGAUUAGGAUUAGGAAAAUUGUUAGUUUUGGAUAAUGUUUUUUAUGUACCUUCCGUGAGAAGGAAUUUGGUUUCAGUUUCUCUUUUAGUAAAAUCUGGUUGUAGACUUG
rnacentral:lncRNA from 1 species